rnacentral:rRNA from 1 species
UACGUAGGGCGCAAGCGUUGUCCGGAAUUAUUGGGCGUAAAGAGCUCGUAGGCGGCCAGUUGCGUCUGCUGUGAAAUCCCGGGGCUCAACCCCGGGCGUGCAGUGGAUACGGGCUGGCUAGAGGCAGGCAGGGGAGAACGGAAUUCCCGGUAUAGCGGUGAAAUGCGCAGAUAUCGGGAGGAACACCGGUGGCGAAGGCGGCGUCCUGGACCAACACUGACACUGAUGAGCGAAAGCCAGGGGAGCAAACGGG